rnacentral:rRNA from 1 species
GACGAACGCUGGCGGCGUGCUUAACACAUGCAAGUCGAACGGAAAGGCCCUGCUUUUGUGGGGUGCUCGAGUGGCGAACGGGUGAGUAACACGUGAGUAACCUGCCCUUGACUUUGGGAUAACUUCAGGAAACUGGGGCUAAUACCGGAUAGGAGCUCCUGCUGCAUGGUGGGGGUUGGAAAGUUUCGGCGGUUGGGGAUGGACUCGCGGCUUAUCAGCUUGUUGGUGGGGUAGUGGCUUACCAAGGCUUUGACGGGUAGCCGGCCUGGGAGGGUGACCGGCCAAAUGGGGAUAGGGAAGGGGCCAGGACGCAUAAGGGGAGAAGGGGGGGGAAAAUUUGCAAGAUGGGCGGAGGGCUGAAGGAAGAAAGCCGGGUGGGGAAGGACGGCUUUGGGGUUGGAAACCGAUUUGGCGUAUAACGAGGGGUGAGGAAGGGAAAUGGAUAAAAAAGACCCGGUAAAUUCGGG